AGCAGCCGCGGUAAUUCCAGCUCCAAUAGCGUAUAUUAAAGUUGUUGCAGUUAAAAAGCUCGUAGUUGAAUUUCGGGGUUAGUAGGUUGGUCAUGCCUCUGGUAUGUACUGGUCUCACUGAUUCCUCCUUCCUGAUGAGCCGUAAUGCCAUUAAUUUGGUGUUGCGGGGAAUUUGGACUGUUACUUUGAAAAAAUUAGAGUGUUUAAAGCAAGCUAACGCUUGAAUACAUUAGCAUGGAAUAAUGAAAUAGGACGUUCGAUCCUAUUUUGUUGGUUUCUAGGAUUGACGUAAUGAUUAAUAGGGAUAGUUGGGGGCAUUAGUAUUCAAUUGUCAGAGGUGAAAUUCUUGGAUUUAUUGAAGACUAACUACUGCGAAAGCAUUUGCCAAGGAUGUUUUCAUUAAUCAAGAACGAAAGUUAGGGGAUCGAAGACGAUCAGAUACCGUCGUAGUCUUAACCAUAAACUAUGCCGACUAGGGAUCGGAUGAUGUAAUUUUUAUGAUCAUUCGGCGCCU
rnacentral:rRNA from 1 species